GGUAGCACCUCUAACAAGUGGUACAAUGGGUAGCAACCUCUGCCACGCAUCUCACAGUCGAGAUGUAGAUGUAUUAGUUCCAAAAGCUAGGCAGAGCAUUUCUUUUACUUUUAUAUUUUUGUUCUGGUGAUACUAAACAUUUCGUCUCCCGAAGUUCCUGAAGAUGUCUGGUGGUUACUGCCUUUAACUUCAUGUGAGCCAGCUUACCGGCAGCUGCACUGCUAAGUGUGUGCUGUUGAAGCUGCUGUACAAGCACUUGUGGUAUCAGAGGUCUGGUCAGGUCAAGAAGUCACCACUCAACUGACACAGCUGCUGAAUUCGACAAAUGAUAAGAUACUGGUAGCUGUGGCCAUUCUCCUGUCUGCUCUCUUUCAGUUGUACGAAGAUGGUGCCUGACAGGCACUACUGUGCCAGCGCCACGCUGCUGUCCGUGCUGAUGCUGUGUCUGCUGCAGAUAUUUGCCCGCAGUCUCCAUGCAGAUGACGUUUCCGUCGUGCAGUGCAUACCGACAAACUGCAGUCAACCUUGUCCCACUCUCCCACCUGUAUGCCGUUCCAAGUUAAUCAGGAAUUGUGGAUGCUGUGACGUUUGUUGGAUCUUCCUUGGUGAAGGUGACGUAUGUGACACCCCUGUUCCUGAGAAUGUUGUUUGUGGCCCAAACUUGUGGUGCAACUAUGAGGGCCGCUGUGAGGUGAUGCCUCUCGAUGAGAACGUAACCGAAAAUUGACAUGAAACCCAUCCUGGAAAUUCAUGUUAACAACUGAGGUUUCCAGGCUGCAGUCAUAGCUAUGAAAUUGAGAGUUUUAUUAUUAUUAAUUAAAAAAUAUUUGCUGAAAUAUACAGACUUCUGAAGGCACACAAUUGAAAUUUCCUGUGUGAUACAAUAUACAAAAUAAAUGUACUUAUGUGUCAGAAAUAUCAUUUUAUAGAAAAAAAUAUAAAGAAGUUUGUGUUAUCUAUUUCAUAGUAAUAAGGUGCUAAUAAUGGUUGCAUUUUAAUAUGAAUUGAUUAGCAAGUUUCCCUAUUGACUGCCUCACUUAUUCAAUAUCUGCUUCUUAUUUUUACACUGAAGUUUAAAGGAAGAAAACACACUUUUUGCAUGGACAGUCUGCAUUUCAUGGUUUGCAUGCUGCAAUUGACAGACCCCAUUAUGAUGUUCCUGAAUUAAAUCCACAAGGAAGUUCAGUUACUGAUGUUUGAGUUGUGUUAUUGUGGCAUUAACAAGAUUUGACAGGCUUGUGUAACUCUCUGUAAAUUUAAGUUUAAUUUCUAAAUCUGUUAGCCAUUAAGGUUUUUUGUCAUGAAACAUUCACAAUGAAACUGUUAAAAUAAAAUAAA